UACGUAGGGUGCAAGCGUUGUCCGGAAUUAUUGAGCGUAAAGAGCUCGUAGGCGGUUUGUCGCGUCUGCUGUGAAAACUGGGGGCUCAACCCCCAGCCUGCAGUGGGUACGGGCAGACUAGAGUGCGGUAGGGGAGAUUGGAAUUCCUGGUGUAGCGGUGGAAUGCGCAGAUAUCAGGAGGAACACCGAUGGCGAAGGCAGAUCUCUGGGCCGUAACUGACGCUGAGGAGCGAAAGCAUGGGGAGCGAACAGG
rnacentral:rRNA from 1 species